ACCUGUACUGGUGAGAGGUAAUAGACACUUGGUGAAAUUAGUCGAAGUGUGCAAAAAUUGGUUCAGACAUAUUUUUGAUAUUUGAGCAAGAGCCCUUCCACACGGAUUUUCGAACACUAUAUAAGACCUACUUUUCUUUGUUCGACCAUUUGUUGUGUAGUUUUAACAAACCAAUAUGAAUGCUAAUUACAUCACCAUCAGCACUAACGAAUGAAAACAUGUUGCACUUUCAUAUUAAAAUUUAAAAUGUUAAUCUUUCAUUCACAAUAAAACAAAGCUUGGGGCACAAAUACAUUAAUCUCUUAUCACCGAUAUCCUUUAACCUCAUGAACAUGGUAAAAAUUUAUCAAAUUCAAGUCCUGAAGUUUUGGUUCAAUUUCUUUUUUUUUUUUUUUUUUUUUUGGGGGGAUAUGAAUAACUACAAAAACAUAUGCUGCAUGUUGAAUUUGGAUUGUCAGUCCAGCCUGGUAAAUGUGAUGCUAUCUGAGACCACCUGCAUACGAAUAGCUGAUCUACAACAACAAUUUACGCUUUAUAGCAAGCUUGAUAUGAUAAUCUGAAUAAGAAUUUAACUUAUAUACACUUACGUGUGAAAAGUUCUUACAUUUACAAAAAUUCUGACCGACCAAUUCAGCCAAAUUUCCCAUCAAAGUAUCAGUUUGCUCUUAUUCUACCAUGGAGGUACAAAAGAAAGGCAAAGGCCUAAUGAAGAAUAUAAAUCUAGAUACGUUCCUUUUUAAUCCAGAGACGUUGAAGUUUAUUGAACACAUCUUUGGUGGAGCCAAACUUGUUCCUACUACUCAACCUAGAAUUUAUAACAUCACUGGUCAUGCAGACCAAAUAGACCGUGUCUAGUCCUGGAUUAAUCGUAUUUGUUUUCGCGAUGUAAGAUAUAUUUAUUAUAAUGGGGUAAUUUUAUUUAUAUGUACGCCAUGUGCGUGAACCAGAUUUAUUUAUUUUUUGAAAUAUAUAGGGCCCUUGUCGUCUAGACUACGAUCUUGAUUCUCCAGAUUAUGAUCCAACUCAUCAUGAACAUAUACCUGGGUUUGACAUUUUUUUUUUUGCUGAUGUCCCCGACAACCUGAAGCUGAAAUUUGGAAGUCAUAUUCAAGUUGAGGUGAUUCCUCUGUGGACAUCUGAGCGCUCACAAAAAGAAUAAUUUGACGCGUGCCCAACGGAACUGGUUGGGGAUGCAUUCCGAAAGCUGGCUCACAUAUUGCGUGAUGGUGAUAACUUUGGUUCCUACUACGCACGUAAGGCCGGGGGUUAUUACAAGGGAAGUUUUUACAACGAAGCUGAUGAGGAGGAAGAGAAGAAGCAGAAGGAGGAUUUUUCUCCUGGUCCAGCUCCCUCAGCUGUUGUUGCUGAUUUUUCUCCAAGUCUCUCUGUGAUCAUGAUCGCAUUGCUCGUUCCGUUUUUUUCUCUCUUUCUUCUACUAGAUAUUCAUAGAUUUGUAUAAUUUGUCUUUGUUCAUGGUGAUUGUGAGAUUAGAGCUACAUGAACGAUGAUGCCUCUUUGGUACAUCAUAUUUAUUUCGUUGUGUUUCUUUGAUGGUUGUUUUGUUUUGUAAUAAAUUUGAAUUAGUCAUCGACUAUAUGAAUCCUUAUUGAUCAUGUUUCUUCA